AUAGAAUGACCGAGGCAGUGUUGAUUUGGGCGUUUAAAUCUUCUCACAAAAAUAAUGAAACCAGGAGCCAAUUUACAUUACAUUUUUUAUUUACAUUUAUUUGCAUUUAUACAGCGUUGUCAAAAUGGAAAGCGGGGUUGAUUUUCAGUGACCACGCCCAAGCCUGAUUACCUCCGGACCCGUUCAAUCAAGGAGUGGAGCCUGUCUGACAAAAUGGAGUCAGCCGAGAGAUCAAAAUAGGAUGAAACAAAGUCACAUGAGCCAAAUAAAAUUGAUGAGGAAUAAAGUAAUUGACAACUUUUAGUCGAAAAAGGGUUACGAAAACCAUUUGUAAAGAUUCAGGACUCCUGUAAACUAUCCUGAAAAAAAAUAUCCUCCAAUGAAGAAAACAAGGAAAUGGUGGUCAACCAAAAACAAAAUUUAGCCUAGCGGCACGGCGACCAUUCAUCCGGGAAGUCGCAGAGGAGGCCAAGGACCACGUCCGAAAAACCGCAGGCCUCGGUCAAGGUCACUUAAGAUUACUCAUGCCGAAAACUUUACUUGGGCGUAAGAAGUCCGGAAGACAAAAGAGCAAGUGUGACUUUGCGCCCUCCCAUGCGUCACGCUACAGCAGCCUUGCCUUUCCAGGUGCCAAGGAUCCCGGAGCCUUGGGGGGGUGGCUUCGCUGCCACGGUUGGAUAAAGAGCAGAUGGCGACCCUGACCGGGCAGUUUCCCACGUUCUAUUCAGGUCCGCCUCGCCGCCGGCGGGACGACAGGAACUUCGGCGGUGGCGGAGGCCGUGAGCCGAGACUCUGCGUCAGUCCCGUCCGAAGAACCAUCCGAAUAUUCAACAUUAUUUACAGCCAUAGGCUCAAACCUGUACGGACGUAUUCCUUCGUCUUCCCGAUCAACCGAUACUUCUAUUUCUUCAUCAGAUGAGGAUAAAUCCGAGAAAUCAGCGCUUACAAUAACUGUAGAGCGAGCCGGAGCCAAAAGUUAUUCCUUCGAGCCGGAUUUGAACCAGCGACCUAAGGAUCACUGCGUCAGGCACCUACAGUCCUCCGCUCUACCAACUGAGCUAUCGAAGGCCUUGUGUGCGAGUUGCGCUUAUUCCUGCUGUCACCCGACACCACGGAGCGGUCCUGUCAGCAGCUGAUUACGGCACACCCAUAGACAAGCAAUCAUUCACACCUAUAGACAAUUUUGAGUCUUUUGCGGUUAGUGGGAUCUAAGAGGAUCCUCCAGAAAACCCACACAAGGACUGGAGCAUACCAUGUAAACUUCAUACAUGCAGGCUGGAAGCCAAGAUUUGAACCCUUGGACUUAUGACUGUUACUUCACUUGUUUGGAAAAACUGUUCAACCGAAUCAAGUCCCGACUUCUCACAUUGGUCACAUGGGGGCAUACUUGAACCGGCGGUGAGACUGCGCCUGCGCUUGCUGGCCUGUUGCAAGACACACACACACACCUAAACAUACACACACACACACACACACACACACACACACACACGCUCCUCCUCACCGAGCCCCCCCCCGCCAACCCUCUUUUUGAAAAUCCACAAUUGCCUUUCACCACUGCAAAACACACACGUCUGCUUAAAAACACACACACACUUUCCCCACGCUUGCUCAGACACACACACACACACACACCACACACACACACGCACACGCAAGUAUUGGUACAGGAAGUUAAACUGGAAGAAAAUAAUCAUGCGACUGCAUACACAUUUCUGGGAAGACUUAUACAAGAAUUUUUUUUCCCAUGAUUUAUGAAAAGUUACUCUAUGUAUACAGAGGAUAUGAAAAGUCUACACACCCUUUUCAAAUUCCAGGCUUUUGUGAUGUAAGAAAAAAUAAAAAGGCAAAGAUAAAUAUGCCAAAAAUAUUUUUCACCUUUAAUGUGACUUGUAGAUUUGAAUAGAAUUUUUUUUUCCAAGAGAAGUAAAAUAAACGACUGAGAUGUCUAUAUGUAGUAAUGUUCAGAAUUUCUGGAGUAUAAGCACGCACCUGAUUAUAAGCCUCACCCAGAACAUUUUUAAAAGGAAAAACCAUUUUAUACAUACAUAGGAUGAAACUGUCUAUAAGCCGCAUGUGCCCACAUUGAAACAUGACAUAUUUAGUUUUCAAAUUUUUAAUAAUAUACCUUAGCUUUUAUUUUCCAAACAGUGCCUGUGAUGCGGCAAUAACACAUCAGCAAUACGGUAGUAACACAGCACUAACAGGGCUGAGUAAAAAAAAACAUCAUACCGGUAAAAGUCACUGAGACACGGCAGUAACACAGCAGCAACACGGUUCAGGCCACCUACUUUUAUUACCUCUGAAAGCUUUUUUCGUCUUUUUACGUUGCUCCAGUUCUUCCCGCUGCGGUUUCCAGCAUCUCACUGUUGAUUCAUUUACGCCAAGUUCACGUGCAGCAGCUCGGUUUCCUCCUUUAGCGGCCAGCUCGAUUGCUUUUCACUUGAAAACUGCGUCAUAUGUAUUUCUUCUUGCAUUUUCCAUGAUGAUGGGUCUGUUCAUGCCGAUUUUAUUCAUGCACAAAGUGCAAAGUUACAUUAAACUUGCGUCUUCCUCAACACACGUGGCGGCCAUUGGAAAAAAAAAAAUCCAUAAAUUAGCCGCAUCGUUGCAUAAGCCGCAGGGUUGAAAGCGUGUAACAAAAGUCGGUGCUUAUAGUCCGGAAAUUACAGUCAUCACAUUCAAACUGAUGUUAAAUGCAAGUCCGCACCCAAGUGCGACCAUUUUAAGUGCCUCUGAUUAACCCUCAGCACGGUUCAGCUGUUCUAGUUGGCUUUACCUGACGUUC